rnacentral:rRNA from 1 species
UACGUAGGGGGCAAGCGUUGUCCGGAUUUAUUGGGCGUAAAGAGCGUGUAGGCGGCCAGGUAGGUCAGCUGUGAAAACUCGAGGCUCAACCUCGAGACGCCGGUUGAAACCAUCUGGCUAGAGUCCGGAAGAGGCGAGUGGAAUUCCUGGUGUAGCGGUGAAAUGCGCAGAUAUCAGGAGGAACACCAAUUGCGAAGGCAGCUCGCUGGGACGUUACUGACGCUGAGACGCGAAAGCGUGGGGAGCAAACAGG